GCCAGGGUGGUCUAGCGGUUAGAACGCUGGCCUUGUAAUCCUGGGGUCUCGGGUUCGAUUCCCGGCGGUGCCC
rfam:Zootermopsis nevadensis contig20245, whole genome shotgun sequence.